UACGGAGGAGGCAAGCGUUAUCCGGAAUGAUUGGGCGUAAAGCGUCCGCAGGUGGCUAUGUAAGUCUGCUGUUAAAGAGUGAGGCUCAACCUCAUAAGAGCAGUGGAAACUACAUGGCUAGAGUGCGUUCGGGGCAGAGGGAAUUCCUGGUGUAGCGGUGAAAUGCGUAGAUAUCAGGAAGAACACCGGUGGCGAAAGCGCUCUGCUAGGCCGCAACUGACACUGAGGGACGAAAGCUAGGGGAGCGAAUGGG
rnacentral:rRNA from 1 species